GACGAACCGUACGAACGUUAUUCGGAAUUACUGGGCUUAAAGGGUGCGUAGGCGGCGCAGUAAGUUGGGUGUGAAAUCCCUCGGCUUAACCGAGGAACUGCGCCCAAAACUACUGUGCUCGAGGGAGACAGAGGUGAGCGGAACUUAGGGUGGAGCGGUGAAAUGCGUUGAUAUCCUAAGGAACACCUGUGGCGAAAGCGGCUCACUGGGUCUCUUCUGACGCUGAGGCACGAAAGCUAGGGUAGCGAACGGG
rnacentral:rRNA from 1 species